rnacentral:rRNA from 1 species
UACGGGAGGCAGCAGUGGGGAAUAUUGCACAAUGGGCGCAAGCCUGAUGCAGCCAUGCCGCGUGUAUGAAGAAGGCCUUCGGGUUGUAAAGUACUUUCAGUCGUGAGGAAGGUGUUAAGGUUAAUAACCUUAGCAAUUGACGUUAGCGACAGAAGAAGCACCGGCUAACUCCGUGCCAGCAGCCGCGGUAAUACGGAGGGUGCGAGCGUUAAUCGGAAUUACUGGGCGUAAAGGGCACGCAGGCGGUUAAUAAGUUGGAUGUGAAUCCCCGGGCUUAACCUGGGAAUGGCAUUCAAGACUGGUUAGCUAGAGUCUUGUAGAGGGGGUAGAAUUCCAUGUGUAGCGGUGGAAUGCGUAGAGAUGUGGAGGAAUACCGGUGGCGAAGGCGGCCCCUGGGACAAAGACUGACGCUCAUGUGCGAAAGCGUGGGGAGCAAACAGGAUUAGAUACC